rnacentral:lncRNA from 1 species
UCUACUUCGUCGAGAAGGUAUUGAAAAGAAAGGGUAACAAGGUGUUUGUGAAAUGGUUAGGGAUGGAUUCUACUCAUAAUUAAUGGAUUAAUA